rnacentral:rRNA from 1 species
GACGAACGCUGCCGGCGUGCUUAACACAUGCAAGUCGAGCAAGGAGCUUGCUCCUAUCGGCGAACGGGUGAGUAACACGUGGGCAACCUGCCCCAAGCUCUGGAAUAACUCCGGGAAACCGGGGCUAAUGCCGGAUAUGACAUCAUCGGGCAUCUGGUGAUGUGGAAAGAUUUAUCGGCUUGGGAUGGGCCCGCGGCCUAUCAGCUUGUUGGUGGGGUGAUGGCCUACCAAGGCGACGACGGGUAGCCGGCCUGAGAGGGCGAUCGGCCACACUGGGACUGAGACACGGCCCAGACUCCUACGGGAGGCAGCAGUGGGGAAUAUUGCGCAAUGGGCGAAAGCCUGACGCAGCGACGCCGCGUGAGGGAUGACGGCC